UGUGAUUAUUCAAGGCUCUUAACUGCUCUUCACUAAAAUAACCCUGUGUCCAUUGAGUACAUUGAGGCAGAUGAUUUUGGAAUAAAAAGCAAACAAAAUAGAAACAAACCACCUCAUCUAUUGUAAAUGAAUCUCUUUAAAUGGGGUCAAAAUACAACAGAAUUUAGUUCACUUUAAGGAUGUAACAAUAUAAAAAUUGAGAUUAAUGUACUCAGCUUAUCACAUAACAAAUAUUUUCAAAUGACUUAAACAGUUUACUAAUCUUUGUGACAAGUUUACCUAGGGCAGGGCUUCCCUGGUGGCACAGUGGUUAAGAAUUAGCCUGCCAAGGCAGGGGACAUGGGUUCAAGCCCUGGUCCAGGAAGAUCCCACAUGCCACAGAGCAGCUAAGCCUGUGCACCACAACUACUGAGCCUGUGCUCUAGAACCCAUGAGCCACAACUACUGAGCCUGUGUGCCACAACUCCUGAGCCCGUGGGCCACAACUACUGAAGCCCUCAGGCCUAGAGCCCACACUCCGCAAUAAGAAGCCCAUGCACCGCAAAGAAAACCCAACGCAGCCAUAAAUGAAUGAAUGAAUGAAUAAAUAAAUAUGAAAAAUUUACCUAGGGCCAAAACAACCCUUACUUAUAAAUAUACUCUGAUAAUCAUAAUCAUCAACACUGACAUUAUAAAUGGUUAACAUCUGAAUGCCUAUUAUAUUUGAGAAAUAGAUCUAUGUGUGGGUAAUGUAUUAAUUCAUUUAAUCAUUACAAUAAUCCUAUGAGGUAGGUACUAUUCCUGUUUCCAUGUGGUAGAUGAUGAAACUGAGGUACAGACAGAAUAAAUAAUUUACAGAGGCAUAUAGGCAGGGGUUGACUCAAGGGGACACAUUCUUAUCCCCCUAUAGUAUAAUUUCAUUAACCCUGGAACAGUAGAUACAAUUUAAAACAAAUAUGUACUACAAGCACUUAGCUCUGCCUCUACAUUUCUCUCCCAAUCAUUUAGCAAACUGGUGUUUGAACGUCCUGGGAACCUCACCCAGUAUUAACAAAAAAAAAAAUCAACCAAAAAUAAAAUAAAUAGAAAUCCUGACAUAUAACCUACUAGACUGCUGCUGACUUACCCAUGUUAAUACCCUAAUCUAUACUGAGAAGGGAGAUUAUGAAAUCCCUGUGCCCUACAAAGGUCUUCCUAAAUAGGCAGUGUUUAGCUUAAACAUGAAUUAAAAAAACAAUAUGUGAUUUCAGAAGUUCCACAAUACUAAACACUGUCACUGAAAACAAGUCCUCUUAACAGGGUAUUUUAGAAAUUGAUGGCAAUUUUUCCCUCUGAGAAUGAUUCAGUGACUCUCAUAGAAUCACAUAAACUUAGAACCUUAGAGAUAAGCUACUCUCAGGCUUUCCCCUGGCAGAUGGCAGAAAGGAGGUCCGAGAGAGAAAUCACCUGUCCAGCUACACAGGGGCAGAGCCAGGUCUAGAACUUAGUCCUCCAACUCUCAUUCUGCCCCAUUUCUCCUUAUAAGUAAAUUUUAUAAAAGGAAACCAGAAUAACAUUUUGUUAAAUUUUAUGGAUGAAAUUAAAACUAUCUUCAUAAGCUUCAACAAACAUAAAGAGACAGAGGCAAAUAAUUUCUCAGGAGAGCAUAAUAAAGCCUUACAGACUUGUAGCAAGUAUACUCACAGGCUUGAAAAUCAGACUCACUUCCCACAGGGAGAAUCUGAGUUGUAACAUUUGGGAAUAUAAGGGAAUUCUGUUCAGAAUAGCACUGCUCACUCUCCGAGCAGAGUAUUCUUUAUUUUGAGGUCCCAUUAUUUAAGAAAGUUAAGAUUAUAUACAACAUUUAUUGUCAUCAAAUAAAUCAGAUUAAUCAAUAAACUGUUUUCCUAAAAUUUCCCCUCCUCCCUAUUUUGCAAACUAAUCCUAGAAUUUGCAUUAAUUAGAUACCCAGGUGUCUAAAAAUUUAGGAAGUAGCCUACCUUAAUGUAUGAAAUGAUAUUCUAAUAAUAACAUUUACAUAGAACUUUGUUAACAGUACCCUUUACAUACAUUAUCCAAUUUGAUCCUAAAACAUCUUUUGUGCCCAUUUUAUAGCUCUUUUGUAUCCAGUUUGCUUAGCUAAUCAAUGGUUGAGCCAUGAUCUAAAGCCUAUGCUAUUUGUAACACAUUUUUGUGCUUCUGAAACUUUUCCACCUAAGUAUCCUUAAGGUAGAGGAUUAUGAAAUAAACUCUACGUAGGAUCUGAGAAAGAGCUGAGAACAUGGAAACUGAGACAGUGCUCUGAAGAAGUAGAAAUGUAGCACCCUGGUUUGGUACAUCACUGAGGACCCCAUCACUGAGGUACACAUCCCUUGGAGAAACACAGCAUUUCAAAACAGUGCUUCCUGUAGUGGCCAGAUGAGUGACUAUAGCUUUCCACCUUGAAGGAUGAAGAUUAGCCUCACUGUAGGCCAGCUUAUUCUCUCACCUCAAGAACAUGGAGUUAAACAAUGAAGAAAAUCAUGAGAUCCACCUCCUAGAGUAAUGGAAAUAAAAACAAAAAUAAACAAAUGGGACCUAAUGAAACUUAAAAGCUUUUCCAAAGCAAAGGAAACUACAAUCAAGACGAAAAGACAACCCUCAGAAUGGGAGAAAAUAUUUGCAAACAAAUCAACGGACAAAGGAUUAAUCUCCAAAAUAUAUAAACAGCUCAUGCAGCUCAAUAUUAAAGAAACAAGCAACCCAAUCCAAAAAUGGGCAGAAGACCUAAAUAGACAUUUCUCCAAAGAAGACAUACAGAUGGCCAAGAAGCACAUGAAAAGCUGCUCAACAUCACUAAUUAUUAGAGAGCUGCAAAUCAAAACUACAAUGAGGUAUCACCUCACACCAGUUAGAAUGGGCAUCAUCAGAAAAUCUACAAACAACAAAUGCUGGAGAGGGUGUGGAGAAAAGGGAACCCUCUUGCACUGUUGGUGGGAAUGUAAACUCAUACAGCCACUAUGGAGAACAGUAUGGAGGUUCCUUAAAAAACUAAAAAUAGAACUACCAUGCAACUCAGCAAUCCCAUUACUAGGCAUAUACCCAGAGAAAACCAUAAUUCAAAAAGACACAUGCACCCCAAUGUUCAUUGCAGCACUAUUUACAAUAGCCAGGUCAUGGAAGCAACCUAAAUGCCCAUCGACAGAUGAAUGGAUAAAGAAGAUGUGGCACAUAUAUACAAUGGAAUAUUACUCAGCCAUAAAAAGGAAUGAAAUUGGGUCAUUUGUAGAGACGUGGAUGGAUCUAGAGACUGUCAUACAGAGUGAAGCAAGUCAGAAAGAGAAAAACAAAUAUCGUAUAUUAACGCAUAUAUGUGGAACCUAGAAAAAUGGUACAGAUGAACUGGUUUGCAGGGUAGAAAUUGAGACACAGAUGUAGACAACAAACGUAUGGACAUCAAGGGGGGAAAGCGACGAGGUGGUGGUGGUGGUGUGAUGAAUCGGGAGAUUGGGAUUAACAUGUAUACACUUAUGUGUAUAAAACUGAUGACUAAUAAGGACCUGCUGUAUAAAAAAUAAAAUAAAAUUUUAAAAAAAUAAAGAAAAUCAUGAAGAAAUGCAGAACAUAAAAUUUUCUGCAAUAAAAAAGGUAGAUAAAAAAAGUAAAAUUUCACAUCCUUUAAGCAUAAAACACUAUAAUUUUUAUUUUUCAAAUUGAUGCCACAGGGAAAAUAAGCUCUAGUUCCAGGUAUAAAAACAUAAAGAUCAACAACUACAACAGCAAAAAUGCAAGUUCUAUAAUGUAGAUAAGGACACAGAGGAAAGAGAAUGACAAACAGCUUGGGGAGAAUAAUUUGAUAGUUCUUUCCCUUGUUGCUUUUUUUACUCUAAUACCAAAAAUUGAUGCUACAAAUACUUUAGUACUAAAGCUUACGGGCCAGUUUAAUUAAGACUUCUGAAAAGUGCUGUAGGUAUGUAAUGUUUAAUUGCCUAAGACAAUUUGUGAGGAUCUAAAAGCUCAUUAUGUUGAAUAAAGAUGUGAUAUUUUGGGGCCAAUUCAAUGCUUAUCUGUUUACCUAUGUAAUUUUUUUUUCAAAUCAGAAAAAAUUCAGAAUUAGGAAAAAAAAUCUAUUACUCAAAAUAAAGACAAUUCACCCAGUUAGAAGCCUCUAAAACUCUGAAAAAAAGAUCUUGUAAAUACAACUCAUUUUACCUUCAUG